AAGCAGCUGGCUGGUGAGAUGCCCCUCCACAAUUGGUACCCUGCCUUCUUCCCCACAGCAGUCUGUGCCAAGGGUAGUCGCAGCAUAGGGCACAGAAUGGAGACAGACCCUAUCUGAUCCACCUGGCUCUCCUCUGGAGAUGGGUCACUGGAUGGUUCUCGCACACUGGAAGGAGCUGUGAACACAAUGAGAACAGGCGUCAGACUUUGAUUGGAUUCUCCAUUAGCUCAUGUUGUUUGUCUGCAGUAGAGAUGAAGUGGCCCAUUUAGGCCUUAGCUUAUCAUGACUUAAGCAAAAGUAGGAUGCCGUACAAACACAUAAAAGCACAGCGACAUUCACGCAAGAAAACAUUCCCACAUCCAUGCGAGCAUCUUUUUCACAUCAUUACCAACUCCUUGGACAGUAACCCAGGAGAGAUUCUAUACAGAACAAAGCCAUAAGGACCCAGCUCUUCAAGACUGUUCACGUGGCCUCCGUAGUGAGAAAACCUGUGCAUGCCAUUUCUGUAUGUAUGCUCCUUUGUACUGUGGCUCUGCCAUUUCUUCCAUCAACAGGUGGAGUCUCUUUCUCCACCUGUUGAGCCUAGGUGUGGCCAUGGAACUUGCUUUGGCCAAUGAGACAUUAGAAAAUGUGAUACACGUAGAGAUUUUAAAAAUGCUUGCACAGUAGGCCUUGUUCUCAGUUGCUGCUAGAAACCCUCUGCCACCAUGCCAGUGAGGCUAGACUAGCCUGUUGGGUGAUUAUUAUGCAAUACAUGCCCCUAGCCAACACUCAGCUGACCACCAGACAUAUACGUGAGGACUUCUGAGGCCAUCCGCCCCCAGCAAGGCUGGCCCAGAUAAGCAAAGCCACCUAGCUGACCCAAAGAACCAUGAGGAAUAAUAAAUAAUAUUGUAAGCUACUAAGUUUGGGGAUGUUUUGUUAUGCAGCAGAAGCUGACUGAUACAUCCUGACUCAAGGCUCAGAGAUUCCUCUUACCUGGGAGGGUAGUAGGGAUCAAAAGUGUGGCCAUCUCCUGUACUAAUUAUACACGAAAGGUUUCCAAUGUAAGGAGAGAGGAGCCAUGUCAGGGAGAUGGUGACAUUGUCAAAGGUGAAACUCUCAUUGGACACCGUCAGCUGUAG